CUGGCGGCAGGCCUAACACAUGCAAGUCGAGCGGUAGAGAGAAGCUUGCUUCUCUUGAGAGCGGCGGACGGGUGAGUAAUGCCUAGGAAUCUGCCUGGUAGUGGGGGAUAACGUUCGGAAACGGACGCUAAUACCGCAUACGUCCUACGGGAGAAAGCAGGGGACCUUCGGGCCUUGCGCUAUCAGAUGAGCCUAGGUCGGAUUAGCUAGUUGGUGGGGUAAUGGCUCACCAAGGCGACGAUCCGUAACUGGUCUGAGAGGAUGAUCAGUCACACUGGAACUGAGACACGGUCCAGACUCCUACGGGAGGCAGCAGUGGGGAAUAUUGGACAAUGGGCGAAAGCCUGAUCCAGCCAUGCCGCGUGUGUGAAGAAGGUCUUCGGAUUGUAAAGCACUUUAAGUUGGGAGGAAGGGCUGUUACCUAAUACGUGAUGGUUUUGACGUUACCGACAGAAUAAGCACCGGCUAACUCUGUGCCAGCAGCCGCGGUAAUACAGAGGGUGCAAGCGUUAAUCGGAAUUACUGGGCGUAAAGCGCGCGUAGGUGGUUUGUUAAGUUGGAUGUGAAAUCCCCGGGCUCAACCUGGGAACUGCAUUCAAAACUGACUGACUAGAGUAUGGUAGAGGGUGGUGGAAUUUCCUGUGUAGCGGUGAAAUGCGUAGAUAUAGGAAGGAACACCAGUGGCGAAGGCGACCACCUGGACUGAUACUGACACUGAGGUGCGAAAGCGUGGG
rnacentral:rRNA from 1 species